AGGGGUAUAGGCUAAAUUGGUAAACUACUGGUCUCCAAAACCAGUUUUGAAGGUUCAAGUCCUUCUACCCCUG
rnacentral:tRNA from 1 species